GCCAGGCAUGGUGGUGUGUGCCUGUAAUCCCAACUACUGGGGAGGCUGAGGCAGGACAAUCGCUUGAGCCCAGGAAUUCAAGGCUGCAGUGAGCAGUGACCAUGCCACUGCAUUCCAGCCUGGUCAACAGAGUGAGAACCUGUCUUAA
rnacentral:SRP_RNA from 2 species